UACGUAGGGACCAAGCGUUGUUCGGAUUUACUGGGCGUAAAGGGCGCGUAGGCGGCAAUUCAAGUCAGCUGUGAAAUCUCCGGGCUUAACUCGGAACGGUCAGCUGAUACUGCUUUGCUAGAGUACAGAAGGGGCAAUCGGAAUUCUCGGUGUAGCGGUGAAAUGCGUAGAUAUCGAGAGGAACACCAGAGGUGAAGACGGGUUGCUGGGCCGACACUGACGCUGACAGCGCGAAAGCCAGGGGAGCAAACGGG
rnacentral:rRNA from 1 species